rnacentral:rRNA from 1 species
AUGGUUGGUUAAGUCCCGCAACGAGCGCAACCCUUGUUCUUCAGUUGCCAGCACGUAAAGGUGGGAACUCUGAAGAUACUGCCCCGGUUAACGGGGAGGAAGGUGGGGAUGACGUCAAGUCCUCAUGGCCCUUAUGCCCAGGGCUACACACGUGCUACAAUGGCAUAUACAAAGGGUCGCGAUACCGCGAGGUGGAGCCAAUCCCAUAAAGUAUGCCACAGUUCGGAUUGGAGUCUGCAACUCGACUCCAUGAAGUUGGAAUCGCUAGUAAUCGCAGAUCAGCAUGCUGCGGUGAAUACGUUCCCGGGCCUU